rnacentral:rRNA from 1 species
UGAGACACGGACCAGACUCCUACGGGAGGCAGCAGUGAGGAAUAUUGGUCAAUGGGAGAGAUCCUGAACCAGCCAAGCCGCGUGAGGGAAGACGGCCCUAUGGGUUGUAAACCUCUUUUGUCGGAGAACAAAACCCGGGACGAGUCCCGGACUGCGUGUAUCCGAAGAAAAAGCAUCGGCUAACUCCGUGCCAGCAGCCGCGGUAAUACGGAGGGUGCGAGCGUUAUCCGGAUUUAUUGGGUUUAAAGGGUGCGUAGGCGGUCUGUUAAGUCAGCGGUAAAAUUGCGGGGCUCAACCCCGUCGAGCCGUUGAAACUGGCAGACUUGAGUUGGCGAGAAGUACGCGGAAUGCGCGGUGUAGCGGUGAAAUGCAUAGAUAUCGCGCAGAACUCCGAUUGCGAAGGCAGCGUACCGGCGCCAGACUGACGCUGAGGCACGAAAGCGUGG